CCUCCGCCAUAUGAGCACGGUAUUUCCCUUGUACGGAAAUUUGCAUCUAUCUCAUAUUGAAGCGAUGGAGCCAGAGGCAGCCGGUGGCGGCCGCAGCACCACCCCUGUAAAUUCACCAGGUAGUCACUCGUCUCCCGAUCUGUAUUACAUCACAGGUAAUCCCAACUCUCUAGAUCUGUAGUUCAUCAGGCAAUCCUUCCUCUCCAAUCUUUAUUUCAUCAGGUAAUCCCUCGUCUCCUGAUCUGUAUAUCAUCAGGUAAUCGAUCUUCUCCCAUAUCUCUUACCUGAAUUCCUCCUCUCCGAAUCUGUCAUGAAUCAACUCCGAUCAUUCUCAUCGCAGGCACAGCCAGCCAGUGGCAACUCCGAUGAGUUGAUUACGACUUUGACUAAGGCACGCAUCGACCAAUGCCCGAUCGCAGGGACGCCCUCUCCAGGGGCAAUGGGAUUGCCGAUAGGCAAUGCCAGCAGAGGAAUGCAUCAAAGCGGAUACUGAUGGGAUGGUGGUGGAUUCGUUUCCUUCUUGACUUCUCACAUGGCAUCCAAAUAUAAAAUCAAGCAAAGAGUUUCCCAUCAACCGAAAAUGCAAUCAUCAAAGAAGUGUUAUAUUGAAGAUACCGUUGUUUGUUGAUGUACUUCUUGGAAAUCAGCAAUUUUCAGGAUUGAACAGCUGCAUAGUUAGACUCUUGUGC